CGCGCCGCGCGCCCCCGGCGCCGCCCGCCCACACGCCCGCUCCCCUUCCGCGCUCGCCCGCUCGCACGGCUUCGGGCCCGGCCUGGCCGGCCGCCUGGCCGUCAGCGGCACCUAGGAGCCCGCCCGUGGGCCCGAGAGGCCGCUUCUCCAGUCCUCGGGAGUCCAGUGUUAACCGUUGUUAACAGUGAGAUGGAGUGGACCCCCCCCCCCGCCCCCACCCGCCACCCCGGCACCCCUCCCAGCCCGAACUGUGUGCGCGUGAAAGGUGCCCUCCUUGCGAUACAGUGGAUCUUUUGGAGAGAUGGAUUCCCCGUGCUUGAAGGAACAGGAAUAAUAAUAAACAGGCGUAUGAAGCCUUGUGAAGAAGGGCACAGAAUAAGGGAUCUAAGAUUGAGUAGGUGAAUAAGGAGAAUAGAGACAGACGCAGGCAGGCAUGGGUAGAUAACAGGGGAAACACAGACCUAAGUGGAAGAGAUGGCUUCCUGCUACCUGUAGCAUUUAGGGGUGCGGGCCGCUGACGCAUGUGGCUUGUGUACAUGUGACAGUUGGUAUGUGGCUAGAUCCUGUUAAUGUUUUCAGUGACCUUAUUGGUGGCUCCCCAAAAUACAUAUAAAUUGGGACAUACUCAUUCUUGUUACAUCCUUUGAAGGCAUGUCAGCGGUUAUGAUUCAAUAUUUCCAAAUGGUAAAGGCGACCCAGGAAAUGGUGUUGUGUGGCCAAAGUGUGGAGGGAAAUUCAAAUCAGUAAAUAGCAUCCACUCGAGGACAGGAUUGUUUCCCCAGCGUCUCUUGGAAUCAGGAAGUAUGAUUUAUUUUUGUUAAUAAUGGAUUGUUUUUGUUCCAUCCUAGUCCUUGAUUCGUUUAUUCAGUACGUAGUUACGGUGCCUUUGCAAAAAGCUGGAAAAAAAAUGAUAUGUCUUUGGGCCUUUCGGAAAGAAACAGAAAUCGUUGGGGGAUGAGGAGGACGAGGAAGGUGAACCUUUUCUCAUACUAUUUUCUUGGAAUCUGUAUCAGACAAGUAGAAGGGAAUCCCUUUUUGUAUUAGAUUAUAUAGCCUUUGACAGACUCUCAACGUGUUUUGUUUUCUUCUUGCUAAAAAUUUUUCAAAAUACAUAGAAUCGUUACAUAGAAGUUAGUGGCAUCGAUGUGAGACCAUGGGACCUGCCGGGGGCAAGAUAGACAAUAGAGAAAAGAAAAGGGAACUGACAGACAAGCUGAGGUCUUAAUUCAGAGGGCUUCGUCUGAGUGACUUGGCCUCUCCCACUGGCAGUCCACACCGUCUGUGCACGUACCUUGGGCAUCCCAUCAGCUGGGAUUCAUGAUAUAUGUUGUCUGUAACGUUUAUGCACUUAAAUGAAUGCAAAUGGCUGGAUUCUAACCACAGAGUUUCGCAAAAACUAUGCUUAAAUGGUAGAAAGGUAUCCAUGGAUGUGUGUGUAUCAUUCACGUGGUGUUCUCAUAUUUUUGGUUAUAUUGAGAAGGAACAGUUGGUAUUUUGGAGUGCCAUUUUCUAUGACCUUGCCCUACAGAGUCCAAGAUCGCCUGGUUCAUCAUGGAGCAGCUGAGGUGGGGCUCUUGACCUAUGUGGUGUGAACCCCACAUACUUAGUAUUUAAGGCACAUUAAAUGCAUGGGAAAUUCACUUCUUCAGAGUUUUAUAUGAAGAACUGAAAAUCAUUUACUGUCUUAAAGUAGUAAGUCAGCCAAAAUCUCUACAUCUAUACCAUCAACACACACACUCACACACACACACACACACACACACACUCACACACCCCUACACCGAUAACAGCAACAACACAUUGGCCUCAUAGACAGUAUUGAAAGUGCAUUUUAACAGCAUCUUCCUUAAAAAGCAUCAGUAAAAAUUAUUCACAUCUCUCCUCCUUAUCUUGUCUGUGACCACUUUGAAAAAUAGGCUGCUCUGUGUUAUGGGUGUCAAAACCUUUGACUGUACUUUGAGACUCUAUGUAAAUACUUUUUGUAACAAUUUUCCUUUUAUUUGCUAUUGAUAUGAUUUAGGAAGAAACAAAGUAGUUGGGUUUAUCAUUGUGGCUAAAACCCCACAUGUUGUGGUUCACAGGCCUUUUCAGUCUUGUAAAAUAAAAUACCGACAGCUGUGCGACCCCUCUGAGUGUACAAUGAGGUUCUUAACAGGUUGUCGGAGGACAAGAAAGUCUGUAGACGAAAUGAGAAAAACACUACAGGGUUGAAAAAGUUUCGCGGGACUAUCACCGUGUCUUUCCAGCCUAAAAACUGCAACAAUGAAGCCCUUUUGAGAAAUGUGAGGGUCCGCGUGAUGGACUCGGGUUGUUUUCGUCAUUCUUAUUCUACAGGUUUUUACUUGAAGUGCGAAUCCCAGCAGUGAGAAAAUCACAGCCAUGCUGAAUUCAUUACUGCGGUAGUCACACAAAACCACGGAUAAAAUUUCAAUAACUGCAGGCCACAGUUGAGUAAACAGUUGCACUGAAAUUUAAUUCCUGUUGACUUUUCCCCCAUUCCUCGCCAGGGGCACAUUCUGAUUCUGUAGCACAAAGACAACAGGGGUUACAGCUUUGAUUAAUGUAGGACAGUGGAAGAGAAUUAGAACUGUAAGAUAUGUUAGAAGUCCAUGGAACAAAAAGAUGUGGCUUAAAAGGGCUUGGUAUGAAAAUGAGUUAAUUAUGCUGUGUGUAACACUGAAUGUUCUAGGAUUUUCCAGUUGCACCAGUGCAAUCGUUGAUGAUGUAGGGAGAAUUUUUACCUAGUGCCAGGACUUUAAAUAAAUGCAAGCCUUUCCAUGUUUGAUUCUUAUUACCAAAGAUAAUUACAGAUGAUAGCAAGUGCCCUUUCAGAAUGGAGAGCUUUCACACAGAUUAGCUGUGGGAGGAGUGACUUCUAGACUGGGAUUGGUCUGUAGGUUGGCUAAAUUAGGUCCAAACAGGAUAGUUUUAAAAAAAAAAAAGUUCAUAGCUGACAACCUCGAAAGGUGGCGGGAAUCUGGCUUUUCCAUCUUCUCUUGAAAAAUCAGAAGAUCUGGUGACCAGAGAGCAGGAUUCCUACAAGGGCAACAGUUGUUCAAGGAUGAAUUGGUCCUCAAGUCAGGGAGCCUGCAGCCCUCCAGUCCGCCCCAGCUCCCAUCUAGCAACAACGCUCCUUCGUGGCCCUUUAGGCCUUGGAGUUGGUGGUUCUGUGGGAUGCCAUCAUCACUCAGAAGCCAUCACCCAGGGAGAGGCGCUGCCGUUAGCUGGCCGAGUCCGCCAACAGACUCCCAACCGGUCCUCCUUCCUCAGAACUAGAUGUAUUAUCUCUGUACUGUUUCAAGUCGACUUCUGUCCAGGCCAUGAAACUAUUAGAACAAUAGUUUUCUAAUAAUGUAAUUUGAUAGACUUUCUGAACAUUUCUUUUAGCCACUGGGUAAUUCUUCACCCGAUACCAUAACUGCCUCUUAUUUCCUAUUAUGCCUUCCCCCCAUCCCUGGGUCUGUAAAAGUUCCGUAUCGGAGAUGCACUACUCCAUUAGGAAACUCGGCAACAAAUACUAUUACCAAUUACUAAAGUUUUUUUUUUUUCUCCUAAAGAAAGGAUUUUAAAAUGUCCAGAGCAAUUUCAUAAACUGUGUGGAUUAAUGCGUUUUAAAAGUCUUGAAUUUUAGAAAGCAGAAUUUUAUUUCCAUAUUGCUGCAAAUGAGAGCUUUUUCAGAUAAGCAUAUUACAUAGAGCAUAAUGUUUAGAAGUUUCUCCAUAUACAGCAUAUGCUGUCAGGUCAAUUAACAGAAUGCAUACUAGAAAAUGUUUAUUCAAUAAAAAUGAAUAGCUGUUAAAUAAAACAGCUAUUUCUUAACAACAUUCCAUUUAAUGAUGGGGUUUUUUUUUUGGGUACCACCUGGCAGUUUUAUUGUCUGAAAAUCAGUAUAGAGAGAGCUUUGGUUGCUGUGGUUUUGAGGUGUGGCCAUUGUUUUAUAGGAGGAGGGCAGUUUAGAAGUAGUCUGUGAGAAAAACGUUAAAAAAUAGAUAAACCACAUAUGGGAAUUGAAUAUGGAUUCUUCAGAGAGUGUGAGUCAGGGAAGUAUUUGUUUCAUCCAUUGACAUUGGUCCUUUGACAUUUGGCAUGAGGGUUUGGGCCUUUUGGCCCUAAAGAUGCAUACAUGCCAUCAACACAUGUGUAUAUGUACAUGUUUCCUGUUAAUAAUGUAAAAGAAAGAAAACAUCGAAUGAGCGCUGAGGGGUUAAGAGAGAUGUAAAGGGCAUGUAUCUUCUGAAAGAAACGUCGUGAGAGGGAAGAAGGAUCUGUUGGGUCGUGUUUUGCCAGUGAGUCACUGCACAGGGCCAGAGAAGCUCCGAGAAACAGCGUGAGUGUGAGAGAGCUCAAGAAGGAAAUCUGGCUGUGGACAUUCACAGGGGAUGUGGAAAAUACAGUGUCAGAGAGGCACGGGAGAAUCACGAGUCGACAGCCUGGGGUCCUCAGGACAUGAGAAACCAAACUGUAAUGACCAGAGUGUGAACACUUGAGGCUAAACCGUUACAGGACCAUUGAGAAUUCCUCUCUUGACUUGCAAAAUGGCAGAGUGAAUUUCUCCUUCAUUUUGUUCUUGUUACUGAAAUGACUAGUGGGUACUGAGCAAAAGAGGGCCGUUGUCCUGCCAACAUUUUUCAGAUUUCAGUGCCUCUGUGAAAAACAGCGCCUGGAAGAAGUAUCUGUCCGUGUUGGGAUGGGCGGUGAGCUCGCAUAAAAGAAAACAUUUCUGUGCUUCUCAUUCUUCCCCAUAUUCCUUUGUGGGAACAGUGCUGCCUUUACAGUGGCCAUCACUCUCCUUGUUCCUCCCUCUACACAGGGAGGCCCAAGUGAUUAGCUGUGGAUUGGUCUGAAGGCCAGGUCGCAGUGGCCACUUGGGCCUUACCGUUCUUCUCUUUGCAAAACGUUGUUCUAUUAACAUUGUUAGGAAUGCCCCGAAGUGGCCUUUUGCACUGUAGCUGCCAGGGACUGUGUCUGAAAGGAGGGUCUUUUGAUGCCAUUGGAAGGGAAAAGAUAGUCAGCAUUUCUGUGUCCGACCAUGGAAACUUCUGGAAGGGAGUGUAGAAGAAGGUAUUAUUAAUAUUUCUUAAGUUCCCUCCUUGGUGCAGGUACUGUGAUACGGGCUAGCCCCUUCCUUCACCGGUGGGUGAAAAUUCAAACCCUCAUUUUAAAGGGCUCACUCUACCAAGAUAUAUUCUUGUUUGAACACAAUGUGGAGUUCAAAUAUUACAGAAAUUACUGAUGAUGAAAAAGGUAGAGUAGGAAUCAGGGCCACCAAAAUGUUAGCGCAGACCACACGAACAAAUUGAGAUAAAACUGAGACAGGGAUUCAGAUAAUUGUGACCAAUAGAGAAAAUGCUGCCCCAACAGUAAGAGAUUCCCCCCUUUUCUCAAUUCCUUUUUGUGGCUAUUUCUGGAAAAGGCCUUUUUCACCCUGAAUGCUAAAUUUAGUUUUCUACUCCGUGAGUUUGGACCUCCCUCUCAUCAAAAUAUUGUCAAAGAUGUAUGUAACUUGUGAUGUGAGCCCUGUAUGAAAUCCUUUCAAGUUUCGAUUACUAAACAGUUGUGUGUCAUUAAUUUCUCCGCUGAAAGUUAAGCUGGCAUGAGAAACAACAAAAAGCAAGCCAUGUGCGUAAGAGAGCCUGGGAAUAGAACCCCAGAUGCCACAUUUCAUCAUGAGAGAAGUGUACCCUCUGGACUUUAAGCUGAGGCGUCACUACUUUGAGCAGAAAAUGUGGCGGAGAGAGUUUCACGUACUCACCUGGCCUCAGCUUUGUUCCACGUGAGCUAAUAAACGUGCUGCCCUGGAAAAUACCUUGUUAA